rnacentral:rRNA from 1 species
GACGAACGCUGGCGGCGUGCUUAACACAUGCAAGUCGAACGGUAAGGCCCUUCGGGGUACACGAGUGGCGAACGGGUGAGUAACACGUGGGUGAUCUGCCCUGCACUUCGGGAUAAGCCUGGGAAACUGGGUCUAAUACCGGAUAGGACCACUGCCUGCAUGGGUGGUGGUGGAAAGCUUUUGCGGUGCGGGAGGGGCCCGCGGCCUAUCAGCUUGUUGGUGGGGUGAUGGCCUACCAAGGCGACGACGGGUAGCGGGCCUGAGAGGGUGACCGGCCACACUGGGACUGAGGUACGGCCCAGACUCCGACGGGAGGCAGCAGUGGGGAAUAUUGCACAAUGGGCGCAGGCCUGAUGCAGCGACGGCGCGUGAGGGAGGACGGCCUUCGGGUUGUUAACCUCUUUCAGCACCGACGAAGCGCAAGUGACGGUAGGUGCAGAAGAAGGACCGGCCAACUACGUGCCAGCAGCCGCAGUAA